CUUUUCUCUUCCUAUUUCCUUUCUUUUCUUUCUUUCUGAUAACUCUCUCUUUUCUCUUACCUACUUCUUAUCACCCUCUUCUUCUUUCUUUCUUUUCCCCACUGUAACACCCUUUUUUCUACCCCAAAACACUUAACAUAUAAUCAGAGUAAAUAAGCACGCAUAUAACAAAAGGCCGUCACAUCGACGUUUUCAAAAACUAAAAGCUUUC
rnacentral:lncRNA from 1 species